rnacentral:rRNA from 1 species
UACGAAGGGUGCAAACGUUGCUCGGAAUUAUUGGGCGUAAAGCGCACGUAGGCGGCUUUGCAAGUCGGAUGUGAAAUCCCUCGGCUUAACCAAGGAAGUGCAUCCGAAACUGCAGAGCUUGAGUACUUAAGAGGAUCGCGGAAUUCCCGGUGUAGAGGUGAAAUUCGUAGAUAUCGGGAGGAACACCAGUGGCGAAGGCGGGUCUCUGGACAGUUCCUGACGCUGAGGCACGAAGGCCAGGGGAGCAAACGGG